AUGACAACACAUAACCGGCGUUUUCAGAAAUCUCCACUUUGUCCGGAGUUUUUAGAAAUGAUCGUUUUCUGUGAUAAAAACCGCGUGGAAAUAUCUGCGUUUUACCUUCGUGUAAACGGGGCCUUAACCUGCAUCAUUCCCCGUUGCACAUGUUCUGUUAGGAUGUGUUUGCAUCCUUUACGGGGUCUUAAUUAGGAAUCAACAACAUAGCCUAUACAUUUUGGCUUUGAAAGAAACAACGUCCGCAAGUUUAUGGUGAAUAGCUGUGUACACAUAAUGCAGGACAGUAGGUCGAAAAGUAACCACAUUUCUACAUUUUCUGUGGGAAAUUACCUUGUCACCUUUUAAUCUCUUUAUGGUUUCUGCUUUAAUUCCACUGUCCUGUAAAAAACUUAGCAAGGCUUCAAAUUCUCUCUCUCCAUUGCAGUUAGAAAUCAUGAAGUUCUGGCUAGCAAUGAACUGUUACCACGAAUUAUUAAACUGUGGCCACAACAUAAUUAUCUUGUUCCCACAAAUUAUUAAUCUGUGGCCACAAAUUAAUUAUCUCGUUCCCAGAAUUUAUUAAAUUGUCGCCACAGAUUUAAGUCAUGCAAACCUUUUUUUCUCAGAAAAAAAUCCUAAAAACGAUCCACCCCACUCCGGAAGCCAAUGUUAAGUAGUAUACCUAUGCAACAUUAAAGGAGGCUAAUUGUGAUAUUUUAAAGUUAUAUACCUCUUUGGGAUGCUAAUAUAGCAUGUUUCCAGGCUACAAUACUAGAAAAAUAACUAAUCUUUCUCUUGCUGUCAGUUCCUUCAUCCAUAGUUUUCAUGCUGUCCCAAUCAUUUAUUAAAUCUGGUCUGCUCUGAUUGCAACUGUAGCAUAUUCUUGAAGAAAGUUGUCCAAUCCCGGGUUGCUUUUAACUCACUUUAUUCGUUAUAAAGUCAGCAUGUUUCGGUAUGGUAACUGAAGCUUAAGGGAGGGAAUUGUAUCUAACUCGUGUGAGAGGAAAAUACCGUGAUCUACUUCAAGCCCCCGGGCUUACGCCUCGUUUCCACAUACGUAUGUUUUUCGUAUCCGUGCUUCCGUAAAUUUACGGAAGGAGUCGCUAGUGUUUUACGUACGGGCAUGAAUUUAUUUACGGACAAAAGAUGUUAGGAGGAAACCGAUGGAUUGCUUACUCCGGGUAGGAAAUGAGUCGCCCAAGUGAAGGAGUUCAAGUACCUCGGGGUCUUGCUCGCGAGUGAGGGUACUAUGGAGCGUGAGAUUGGCCGGAGAAUCGGAGCAGCGGGGGCGGUAUUGCGUUCGCUUUACCGCACCGUUGUAACGAAAAGAGAGCUGAGCCGCAAGGCAAAGCUCUCGAUCUACCGGUCGAUCUUCGUUCCUAUCCUCACCUAUGGUCAUGAGGGCUGGGUGAUGACCGAAAGGACGAGAUUGCGGGUACAAGCGGCCGAGACGAGUUUUCUGCUCCUUUACUUAGAAAGGAGUCAGCUGAGGUGGUUCGGGCAUCUGGUAAGGAUGCCCACUGGGCGCCUUCCUUGGGAGGUGUUUCAGGCACGUCCAGUGGGGAGGAGACCUUGGGGAAGACCCAGGACUAGGUGGAGAGAUUAUAUCUCAACACUGGCCUGGGAACGCCUCGGGAUCCCCCCGUCAGAGCUGGUCAAUGUGGCCCGGGAAAGGGAAGUCACGGGCCCCCUGCUUGAGCUGCUCCCCCCGCGACCCGACCCCGGAUAAGCGGAUGAGGAUGAGGAUGAGGAUGAGGAUUUUUUCAUGGGAUUUAAUUAAUCAAAAAGAACGAGAAAGAAUUAAGAUUUGUGUGAUAUGUGAUAGUAUUUUUGUUAUUUGUUUUUUGGUGUGGACAUAUGACUACUGUCAUCUUUUAUUCCACAGAGGCACCAAGGCACCUGCCUGUGAGGAAAAAGACACAGAUAAACUGCUCCUACCACUCUCGUCUAGAGACUUUCCCCUUCAGACGAGUUGUAAAAGAAAGAGUGAGAAAUGGCAAAGAAGAAAUGUUGGUUGACUGGCAGCCCUGUCCAGUAUGUGGUAAGGAGUGGGCCCAUUCCUGGCAACCGAAGGAACUUCUUCAAUGAAUGAAUUAAUCGUUUUUAGGUUUCAACAAUAAAUGGACGUCGGAUUUCCCGAGUCCGGACUGAGAUCCUGGGUCACGUCUUUACUUAAAAAAAGAUUAACAUUUUUGGUUUUACUUCUCCAUGCAUCAUCUUAUUUAAAAACAAAAUGUGAUAGUGUUAGUUGAUGAAAGGUAAAAGCUAAAGAAUAUGAGUAAAAUAACCAUAAAUACAGCAUGAUUAUACUUGCAAUUUACCUUUUAUAAUUUACUUGCAAUCACAUUGCAUUGUUUCACUUUCUCAGGUGGAUUACUUUAAUGAAUCAACAUCCGUUAUUUCUUUCACCCAGAUCAUACCGUAUACUUUACUACUUUAUAUGUUUACAUUUUAUGUACAUCAAAGUGGACUACAUAUUUGUGGUCGAUUAUUAUUUGUUUUAGCUUUUUAAAAAUAUAAGUAAUUUUUUUAUAUAACACAUUAUGUGAAUGUUGCUAAUGAUUAUGUCAUUGCUUCAUGCAAAGGGCCACUAGUUUCAUCCACAGCAGUGGUACACUUCAUUCAGGUUUGCCAAUGUCUUUAUACAGAGAACGAAAUGUAAGUAUCAGCAUUUCUGAAAUGUGUACCUGUGUAUUGAUGGAAUAUACAGUACAUACUGCUCUACAGAGUUGUACAAUUAGUAGCUUUUGAUCCAAUCCAAUAAUUAUUUUCCUAAUACAUAACAGAAAUUGUCUGACUGCCCUCAGUUUACUUAAUGAGUAUUUGCCUCGAUAGGCCCAUCUUGAUUUGUCCAUCAGUAUUUGUAGGUUAGGAUACAUUGAUAUGGUAGCAUGAUUGACCUGGCCUGAGAAAGGUCAGAGCAAAUAUCUACAGUGAUCUGACCUGACCAACACAACCAAAGCAACACUGACACAAAAAUAAACGAAGAAAGGCUUCUGGACAAGAAAGAGUUUCUUAGGCUGAAUACAAUACAUGACUCCAAGCCUGGAGAAAAUGAAGGUGUGCAGAAAAAUGUAGUGAUAUUGAAUGUCAAAGUACACCUUACUAUUGUCAGCUUACUGUUACGUUAAACUGUUCUCAGAAAAGGCGGUUAUAUGCUAUAGACCAGUGGUUUUCAAACUGUGGGGCGCGCCCCCCCUGGGGGGCGCCAGAGUUCUUCAGGGGGGGCGCGACGUGAGAAAAAAAUAAACCCGAAGAAAAACCUGAAAGUCGAUGAUUCAAAUCAUCAAUCGUACUUCAACUGUAGAAGUAACCUAACUAAAUCAAUUUUCAACCGUUUAUCUUCGUGCAAACCAUUUAACAAAUCUGCACACUUGUAUCUUCAAUAAUAUCUAAACAGAAUUUCGAUAUCAUUUACAAUUUCUUCAGAAUCACAGUUUUAGUUUCAUACCGCUUCGUUUUCAGCUGUUUUCAUUGAAGACGUCAGCCCAUUCUGAUACACCUACUUCUAAACAUCGUAACUCAUUAAUUUUUCAACCGUUUACCAUCGUUCAAACCAUUGAACAAAUCUACACACUUGUAUCUUCAAUACUAUCCAAACGGAAUUUUGAUAGCAUUUAUACUUUUUUCAGAAUCACAGUUUUAGUUUCAAACCGGCAUCGUUUUCAGUUGCUUAUAAUAAUUUAGGUCACCAUAGCAACGCCGGUAAACAAACCCCGCCGAAUAGUCGAAUCUCUGGACUGAAAAAGCUGAUCUGAUUCGACUCUGAAAAUUCAGAGUC